ensembl:lncRNA
GAGAGCAGAACCAGGUCUGCAGUCCUGUGGAAAUUUAUGGACAUCUGAACUGCUGAAAUUUAAACAGAUUCAAAGAAAGAAGAACCUGACAGAAUCAGUGUUACAUUUCAGGAACUACCAGUCACUUGUCCAGAGGAAGAAUUAGAAUGAUAUUCAGAGUGUUUGGAAACAGAGGCAAAAGGGCAAGAGGUGUCCACAAUUACAAAAUUACAAUGUAUUUUGUAUUCUCUACGGAGAGAUCAGCAGCACCCUGGCAUAGACUGCUGUCAUCAGGAGCAUCUAGUAGGAUCAGGGAGAAUGACCUGCUGCCCCUGUAGAGGAAGAAAGGAUGGUUUCCUAACACGGAAGUCAAAGGUUGGAGAGAAAAACAGAAGAUAUAAACAUUGGUUUUUAUUAGAAACUGGAAGUGAAACCGAUACAUUCUUGGAGAGUGAGAUGCUGUACUAGAGACAGGAAUGCCAAGGCCACAAACAUCAGAGUUUGACUGAAAUUCAGAGAAACAGAACUCCGGAGCUUGAAUCCAAGAUUUAGAACUGUCAGGAGACAAUUCUUUCUAUUGGGAAGAAAGCAUAAGGAAGAUCUCAUGUGAACAAAUAUUUAACUAGAUGAAUCUUUUGUCCUUUUUUGUAAAAUAAAAUAUGUAAAUAAAACUUAAAAAACAUGUACAGUAACUCAGUGACAAGGCACAGGGUGUAGGAGAGUAGUCUAUGUGUAAAAAUGAUCUCAUGCUUGGGUACAAAAGUCAAGUCAUUGUUUCCUGGUAAAGUUUGAAAUCAAAUGAGAAAAUGAGAGAGAGAGUCUACAGGUUAGCAUGAGGAAACAGUUCACUGAUCUUGGAUCCUCUAUGUACGUCUGGAUGAUCCUGUGAGGGCAUUUAAGUUGAUCUAUGUAGGGAAUUUCUAUUGCCUUUGGUGUUACAUAGAUGUAGUAAUGUGGGAUUUCUAGUACUUUGUAAUUGGGUAAAUUUAAAUGUCUAUAUUUAGAAUCCUAAAUAGUUGUUUUGGAUUUUUUCCUAAGCAGCUGCACACUGUUUUGCCAUUUCACAGAGUUUUAAAUAUAUGAGGCUGAGAAAAUUCUUGGAUACAACCAGUGAAUACUGGAUAUUUAAGUAACAUAACUAUCAUACAGUAUACAUAAUUCAAAAAACAAGAAUAGCAGCUCAUUACUCUCUUCUUCAACAACUAU